CAACCUCUACAGGCUGGCAGCCCCUCGGGCUAGACUAGGAGAGUAUCUCUUCAAACAUCUCACCCUCAAGGACUAGAAGA
rnacentral:pre_miRNA from 1 species